AUGAUGAAGCAGCUGCUGCCGCAGAGCCAGCUGCGGCGCUCGGCGGCGGCGUCGGCGGCGCGCUCCUCGGGGGGCGGGGUCGAGGGCGCGGGGGGCCCCGACGGCGCGGGCGCGGGCGCGGGCGGGCGGACCGCCUCCUCCUCCACCUUCUGGUUCCUGCUGCACGCGCUCUGCUGCCUCAUCUCGCUCUUCCUCGGCUUCCGCUUCUCCAGGCUGCUCUUCUUCCUGCUCUUCUCCAGCAGCGCGCUCUACGCGGCCACCUCCAACAACAAGUCGGCCGUGCUCCGCGCCAUCACCACCACCACCACCACCACGACCACGACGACCACCACCACCAACACCUUCACCCUCUCCUUCGCCGCCGCGGGCAACCCGCCCCCCUCCAACCCGGACAACCUCACCGCCGCCGCGCUCGAGGAGGCCGCGGGGAGCACGCAGAGCCACGUCGUGGUCGGCCGCCACGGGAUUCGGAUCCGCCCCUGGCCGCACCCCGACCCCGUCGAGGUCAUGCGGGCGCACCGGAUCAUGGAGCGCGUGCAGGAGGAGCAGCGCCGCUGGUACGGCGUCAGGGAGCCGCGCCAGGUGCUCGUCGUCACCCCGACCUACUCGCGCGCCUUCCAGGCGCUCCACCUCACCGGCCUCCUCCACUCGCUCCGCAACGUGCCCUACCCGCUCACCUGGAUCGUCGUCGAGGCCGGCGGCGUCACCAACGCCACCGCGGCCAUGCUUGCGCGCUCCAGUCUCACCUUCGUCCACGUCCCCUUCCCGGAAAAAAUGCCCCUCGAAUGGGCCGACCGCCACGCCACUGAGAACCGCAUGCGCCUCCACGCCCUACGGGUGAUCCGGGAGAGGAAGAUGGACGGUGUGGUUGUGUUUGCGGAUGACAGCAACGUGCAUAACAUGGAGCUGUUCGAUGAGGUGCAGAAGGUCCAGUGGAUGGCCGCGGUGUCUGUGGGUAUCCUUGCGCACACCGGAACAGCAGAGCAGCCACGCCUCACCGAAGAGGACAAGAAGAACAUGCCUCUUCCAGUCCAGGGUCCUGCCUGCAACUCUUCCGGGCAUUUGGCUGGGUGGCACACAUUCAACACGUUGCCGUUCUCUGGGAAGACCGCCACGGUGGUUGGCGAGGCAGCGCCGGUGCUACCGAAGGGUUUGGAGUGGGCUGGGUUUGUGAUGAACUCGAGAAUGCUGUGGAAGGAGGCAGAGGGCAAGCCUGAUUGGGUGAAGGACCUUGAUGCUGUUGGAGAGAAUGGGGAGGAGAUUGAAAAUCCUCUUACUCUCUUGAAUGACGCGUCCUAUGUUGAGCCGUUGGGGAACUGUGGGAAAAAGGUCCUACUCUGGUGGCUCCGUGUUGAAGCCCGGGCCGACAGCAAGUUUCCACAAGGGUGGGUGAUUGAGCCACCUCUGGAGGUCGUUGUUCCCGCCAAGCGCACACCAUGGCCAGAAACCACCAUGGAUGUUUCAUCGGAGAUGUUGGAUGCCAAGCAAGAGCAGGAGGACAGGCAGCUGCCAAGGACCAACAACAGGUCAGCCAGGCCCCGAAGCACCACCACGAAACGGAAGGGCGACGUCCACAACUGA
rnacentral:rRNA from 1 species